rnacentral:sRNA from 1 species
AAUCCCCAGCCCCACACACAAUGCUUCUUGAAGGGUCAGAUGAGCAUCUGAGGUUCUGGGUCACUUUAAGGUGAGGCCUAGUCGUCUCUUUGAAGGAGGAGUGAGCCUAACUGGAAGUCGGUCACUGGAGGCAGACCUUGAGGAAUACAGCCCACCAGACAACCUCUCUGCUUCCUGUUCCAUCACAGUGCGAAGACGUAAGGAGUCUCAGUUUAGGCUCUGGCCCCUACGCAUCUUCCCAUGACCAUCCUUUGCCUAAGGAUGGACUGUGCAACCCCAAACUGGGAGCCCAAAGAAAUCAUCCUUAAAGCUGCUUCUGUCAGCCACCAAGGUUCUAGAACCCUGGCUUAUGUAGACAGUUGAGUCAGUCCAGCGUGGGCCCUGACGCUGCCUUUUCCUGAUUCAAAGCAGGAGCCCAUGAGAGACAAAGGAGCCAGGCACGUGGAUGUCUCGUGCAAAGACCUUACAGGUGGGAAAUUUAGAGACCCAAGGAGAGGCAUAGCAUGGCUGUGGUGGCAGAAAUGCACCGUGCACGUUGGGGGCUUCUUCCCCUGCCAGUGGUUCUGGAAACUCCGGGAGGUGGGACCUAUCUAGAGGAAGUACUUCACUGGGGACCGCUUGUUGUCUGCCAUGAUGGAGGGAAGAGCCACACAUCCAUGGAUCGCGCUGUCUGAAACCAGGAUCCCAAAUAAAUGUUUUUUCUCUUUACGUUGUUUCUGUCUAGUAUUUUGUCACAGGGAUUAGGUAGGAAGCAACUAAAAUAAAGACAAAGGCGGGGGUGGGGUGGGGAGACUCCAUUAGAGUGCGAGCCCCAUUAGACUUCCACAAACCAAACAAAGGCUUUGGCUUUGAGAGAGAUGGAAAUCCACUAGGGCGUUUUGAGCUGGCUCAGUCUUUACCUUUCUGGAUUAUAACUAGAGAUUUGUAAUACAUUCGA